GCAAGUCGAACGGCAGCACGGACUUCGGUCUGGUGGCGAGUGGCGAACGGGUGAGUAAUAUAUCGGAACGUGCCCAGUCGUGGGGGAUAACGUAGCGAAAGUUACGCUAAUACCGCAUACGAUCUACGGAUGAAAGCGGGGGAUCGCAAGACCUCGCGCGAUUGGAGCGGCCGAUAUCAGAUUAGGUAGUUGGUGGGGUAAAGGCUCACCAAGCCAACGAUCUGUAGCUGGUCUGAGAGGACGACCAGCCACACUGGAACUGAGACACGGUCCAGACUCCUACGGGAGGCAGCAGUGGGGAAUUUUGGACAAUGGACGCAAGUCUGAUCCAGCCAUUCCGCGUGCAGGAUGAAGGCCCUCGGGUUGUAAACUGCUUUUGUACGGAACGAAAAGGUCUCUCUUAAUACGAGGGGCUCAUGACGGUACCGUAAGAAUAAGCACCGGCUAACUACGUGCCAGCAGCCGCGGUAAUACGUAGGGUGCAAGCGUUAAUCGGAAUUACUGGGCGUAAAGCGUGCGCAGGCGGUUAUAUAAGACAGAUGUGAAAUCCCCGGGCUCAACCUGGGAACUGCAUUUGUGACUGUAUAGCUAGAGUACGGUAGAGGGGGGUGGAAUUCCGCGUGUAGCAGUGAAAUGCGUAGAUAUGCGGAGGAACACCGAUGGCGAAGGCAAUCCCCUGGACCUGUACUGACGCUCAUGCACGAAGCGUGGGAGCAACAGGAUAGAUACCUGG
rnacentral:rRNA from 1 species